rnacentral:rRNA from 1 species
CGGGGUGCACCAGGCGCGAAAACUUUACAAUGCGGGAAACCGUGAUAAGGGGACACCGAGUGCCAGCAUCAUAUGCUGGCUGUCCAGGUGUGUAAAAUACACCUGUCAGCAAGGGCCGGGCAAGACCGGUGCCAGCCGCCGCGGUAACACCGGCGGCCCGAGUGGUGAUCGUGAUUAUUGGGUCUAAAGGGUCCGUAGCCGGUUUGGUCAGUCCUCCGGGAAAUCUGACGGCUCAACCGUUAGGCUUUCGGGGGAUACUGCCAGGCUUGGAACCGGGAGAGGUAAGAGGUACUACAGGGGUAGGAGUGAAAUCUUGUAAUCCCUGUGAGACCACCUGUGGCGAAGGCGUCUUACCAGAACGGGUUCGACGGUGAGGGACGAAAGCUGGGGGCACGAACCGGAUUAGAUACCCGGGUAGUCCCAGCCGUAAACGAUGCUCGCUAGGUGUCAGGCAUGGCGCGACCGUGUCUGGUGCCGCAGGGAAGCCGCGAAGCGAGCCACCUGGGAAGUACGGCCGCAAGGCUGAAACUUAAAGGAAUUGGCGGGGGAGCACAAGGGCGAUUCGCG